UGUUCUGUGGCUUAGUUGUUUAUAGCAUCGGUCUAACAAAUUUCGGAGUCGUGGGUUCAAAUCCCAUCAGAAAAA
rnacentral:tRNA from 1 species